rnacentral:rRNA from 1 species
GGUAUCCUGACCGUGCUAAGGUAGCAUAACAAUUUGUCUUUUAAUUGGAGACUUGUAUGAAUGGAUAGACGAGAAUAAUGCUGUCUCUUUCACUAUGUGUAAAAAUUAAUAUUUAASUGAAGAAGCUUAAAUAUAAUAAAAAGACAAGAAGACCCUGUUGAGCUUUAUAUAUAUACAAAUAUAUAAUAGUAAUUAAUAAUAUUUUUUAAUUAUAUUUAGUUGGGGCGAUUUGAGAAGAGAAUAUAUCUUCUUUUAUAAUUAAGGAUAUAAUUCUAUAGAUUAAUCCACUUAGGUGAAUAAAUAAUAAGCUACCACAGGGAUAACAGGCUAAUCUUUUUUGAGAGUUCAUAUUGAGAAAAGGGUUUGGCACCUCGAUGUUGGCUUAGGAAAACAACUAGGUGUAGAAGUUUAGUAUAGUGGGUUUGUUCAACCCUUAAAUUCCUACGUGAUCUGAGUUCAGACCGG